AGUUUCUGAGGCGCCGGCGGUGUUCCUGGUAGCGUCAGCCUCCUGGCUUUUCCUUUUCCUGGACGCUUCAGGGCUCCGCGGCCUGCGCUAGACUGGAGGGUCCGCGUCACUCUCGCCCUCCUGCUUUCCGCGCUCUCACCCGCUCCCGCCUCCUGAGGGCACGACUUGUGGAGGAGCGCGGGCGGCGGGGCGUGAGCGAGCUGCCUCUGCCGCCAUCUUAGAGAAGGCGAGCGUGGGGUGUGCGUGGGCGCGAGUCGGCCUCCCGCGGUGCCGCCGCAGCGUGGCGCGGAGAGGCAGGGGCAUCCAGUGGUUCAAGGUUACAAUAAGCUGUGAUCGUGCCACUGCAUUCUACCUGGGAUGACAGAGUGGGACCCUGUGCCACAGAGUGAGACCCUGUCUCAAAAAAAAAAAAACUAUGUAAAUCCAAGAAAAAAAGAAAACAGCUCCUGUUGCCUUUUGCCUCUCAUCCAGAAAGGUAUCCAUUUGCCUUUCUAAUAUCUCUUCAUCCUGUCAGGCCACAAAUGGAGACGACUCACCUGUAUUGUACCUCUCCAAGUUCUGGAAAGUCGAUGGAGGGUUUACUCAGAACUUCAAUCUAUCCAGAACUGAGUUUUGUUUAUGGUGUGUGCCAGGCAGUGGAUUAAACAGUAGUGCAUAUCACUUGGCUGAAGUGACAGGAAUAAAGAACAGAAUGCAUCCACUCCUCCAGUCUCAUUAAGCUGCCUCUUUCUCCUGAAAUUGGAUUGGGAUUCCAGGACACCUCUCAACCUACAGGAAACACUGGAUCUAA
rnacentral:lncRNA from 1 species